rnacentral:rRNA from 1 species
UACGUAGGGUGCGAGCGUUAAUCGGAAUUACUGGGCGUAAAGCGUGCGCAGGCGGCGCGUUAAGACAGGUGUGAAAGCCCCGAGCUUAACUUGGGAAUUGCGCUUGUGACUGGCGAGCUGGAGUGUGGCAGAGGGAGGUGGAAUUCCACGUGUAGCAGUGAAAUGCGUAGAGAUGCGGAGGAACACCGAUGGCGAAGGCAGCCCCCUGGGCUAAGACUGACGCUGAGGCACGAAAGCGUGGGGAGCAAACAGG